rnacentral:rRNA from 1 species
AUGGGUCACGAGCCUGCGAGGGAUGCCGCGUAUGGGAGGGAUCAAGAGGGUGCUAGACUCGGCCUGAAGUAUUUAUUGAAUGUUGUCACACUGCCCAUAGAGGGUGUAAGGCCCGUAAGGCCGGCGUCUAGAUUACCUCGCUGGUUCCUCUCGAGAGUCGGGUUGCUUGAAAGUGCAGCCCUAAGUAGGUGGUAAACUCCAUCUAAGGCUAAAUAUUCCCACGAGACCGAUAGCGAACAAGUACCGCGAGGGAAAGUUGAAAAGAACUUUGAAAAGAGAGUUCAAUAGAGCGUGAAACUACCACGAGGCUAAAGCGAGUGAGCGUACGUAUCCGAACGGUUUGAUUCAGUCCGCCCGAGCACGAUGAGCAGUGGGGGGUCGUAAUACGUCAUUAACGGAUCUCCCGAAAGGAUCCGAGCUUUACGCUCGGCCUCUAGGGUGACCGGCGUAUCUCCCGCUUUGUUCUGUAGGGGGACGCAUUUCCGGCCGAAGUAGGGCGUCGCGGCCGUUUCGGGGGUGUCUAAGACACGGGGGUCCUGGAAUCCGCAUCUUCUCGUCCCGGCGCGCUCUACCGCCCCUUCACGGAGGAGCGGCAUCACCCCGGGGUCGCGAGUCGAGCGCGGCCGCCUCGUUGAUCUGACGGCCUCCGAGACCCUGAAAUCACGUUUCAAGCGGGCCUGCGACGGGGGCUCGUCCGCUCCCUCGUCUCUUAUUA